rnacentral:rRNA from 1 species
UACGAAGGGACCUAGCGUAGUUCGGAAUUACUGGGCUUAAAGAGUUCGUAGGUGGUUAAGAAAGUUGGUGGUGAAAUCCCAAGGCUCAACCUUGGAACUGCCAUCAAAACUUUUUAGCUAGAGUAUGAUAGAGGGAAGCGGAAUUUCUAGUGUAGAGGUGAAAUUCGUAGAUAUUAGAAAGAACACCGAUUGCGAAGGCAGCUUCCUGGAUCAUUACUGACACUGAGGAACGAAAGCAUGGGUAGCGAAGAGG